AUGGAUGCAUCAUGUAUGUACUAUAUCAUGCUUUGUAUUUGUAUUGUUUCCAUGCUACAAAAUAUAAGAAAAGGAUGCGUCUCCUUUUUCUCACAUAGAUCAAGCAUCAAAAUACAAAAAGAGAUGAUCUAACCCCAUGGAUCAAAGAUUAAAAUACAAGCAAAGACAAUAAAAGCCCAUAGAGUAAGGACCAAAAUACAAAAAAAGAUGAUCAUGCCCUUUUAAAGACUAUUUUCCUCUACAAAUAAUCCGGAGACUAUUUUCCUCUACAAAUAAUCCGGAGUCAAGAUGAAAUAUUUUUUGAUAUUUUUUUACUUUCUUUUGAAGGUCAUUAUAGUUAGUCAUCAGUUUUUUAUAUCUCUUAAUAGAUAAAUGUCAAUUCCAUUGCAACUAUCCAUAUUCAGCAUCAAGAUUAUCAUGAGCAUUGCAAAAUCUCUUAUACAGAUAUCUAAAAUAUUCUUUAUCUUCAUAGUUAAAAUCUUCAAUUCAAAAUUGAACAAACUCUUCAACUUUCAAAUUGCAAACUAAUGAGGGAGGAAAC
rnacentral:lncRNA from 1 species